ACUUGAUGCCUGCUAGGCUGCAGCUGCAGGUCUCAGGGUCGCAGAUCCUAUCGCAGUGACAGCCACAAUCCUCCCGGGAUUGGCGCAGUGCCUGCAGCUCCCGCUUCUCCUCCCGAUCGAUCCUUCGCACGCCCGAAGCCCUCAGCAGAGCUCGACGUCGCCGGGCUGGGUAGGGCUGUAGGAAGCUCACUUCUUCCAACCGGCCACCUGCCACAGCGACUGCCAAGUCCUCCUCCACAGAGGCAUCAUCAAUGGCAUCCACCGCAGGUGGUAGCCCUGCCUCUGCCUUGGGUACCCCGGCUGCCGAAAGCUGCAUCCACAGGAAAGAGACAACCCAGGCAACAGACUCCAAUCAAGCCAAUCACUAGGCCCACAGGCCUGUUUCCCCAUAUACAUAAUGAGCAAGUCAGCACCCACCCCUGGUACACCCACCCCUCGAGGUUAGAACUCCAGGAACUGCCUUAGGAGGUGGGCCACGGAGAGGGCUCUCUCUACCUUCCACUGCAGCAUCUCCAACUUCUCCUCUUUCAAGCGCUGGCGGAGCUUCUCGUGCCGUGCACGGGCUUGCUCCUGUGCAAACUCAGCCAAAGAGAAGUGGCGGCAGGCACUGUGGCGAGGGGCCAUACCCAGAGUACAGCCACCACGGCUGGGCACACUGGUGAAGCCCUGGCAACGGGGAAAGUAGAAGACGGUGAUCCCAUCAAAGGCUACACGGCCUGGGCGCUCCCGGCGAGCCCGCUUCAGGAUAGACAGGGCUGGAAAGCAGGCAAAGAUGCUGGGUAUUAGUUUUCAGUGAGGCACAACAUACCUCCAGGAAGAUCAUGCCAGACUGCCCUCCCGCCUCCCGCCUUCCCCCUCCUCCCUCUCCGCCCACUUUGAAAAAAGAAAUGUGAAUUUAGGAGCCUGUGUGGCUGGGACUGGAGCAGCUGAAACUGAACAUCACACCCAUGUCAGCACUGGCUUAUUGUUAUUUUCCAGUUUAAAUGACAGUAUUUGUAAGAUUAAACAUCUCUGCUAUGUUUAUUAGCCAUGUACAGGUCCUUUGUACAGUUUUCUAUUGUUUUUUAUUGAUUUGUAGGAUUUCUGUGUUCUGCAACAGGCUUAAAAAGGCUUUCCCUUUACAAGUUAAUGUUUAUUGAUUAGUAAGCUACGUACUGGUAUUUUCAUUAGGUUGAACCAUAAUAAAUUACCAUGUAAUGGUGAAAUAUUGGAAAUUCCAUAUAUUUCAACUUACUGUAUUAAUUUUAUACCCAGCUACCAGGGGGAAUUCCCUUCUAAAAGGUUUUCUGUUUAUACUGUUAGAUCACAUGUGCUAAAAAUGAUAUUCUUUUUAUGUGUAAUGCACAGAUAUACAUACAGUACAUAAAAAGGUAAACAGCA